rnacentral:sRNA from 1 species
UCUUGAUUAUACCUAAGACAGUAGGUGGCUUAGCCUUAAUUUCCUACCGAGGACAACUUGAAUGAAUCAGGUCCCUCUAUGUCUAGGUGACAUGGAGUUUUUUUAUUGA